rnacentral:rRNA from 1 species
AGUGAACGCUGGCGGUAGGCCUAACACAUGCAAGUCGAACGGCGGCACAGUAAGAGCUUGCUCUUACGGGUGGCGAGUGGCGGACGGGUGAGGAAUACAUCGGAAUCUACUUUUUCGUGGGGGAUAACGUAGGGAAACUUACGCUAAUACCGCAUACGACCUACGGGUGAAAGCAGGGGAUCUUCGGACCUUGCGCGAUUGAAUGAGCCGAUGUCGGAUUAGCUAGUUGGCGGGGUAAAGGCCCACCAAGGCGACGAUCCGUAGCUGGUCUGAGAGGAUGAUCAGCCACACUGGAACUGAGACACGGUCCAGACUCCUACGGGAGGCAGCAGUGGGGAAUAUUGGACAAUGGGCGCAAGCCUGAUCCAGCCAUACCGCGUGGGUGAAGAAGGCCUUCGGGUUGAAAAGCCCUUUUGUUGGGAAAGAAAAGCAGCAGGUUAAUACCCCGCUGUUCUGACGGUACCCAAAGAAUAAGCACCGGCUAACUUCGUG